CUCUCCCAGAUCGAAAGUCCGUAAACCCACGAUGUUUUGUAAGGCAACGAUGUUUUUCGAUCAGUUCGAUGAACUGGUAUGCUGCGCAUUAGAGUGAAAGAGAGAGCAAGCUUUUGAUUUUAACCGAAGUUUCGCAAAGCAUGCUAUCUCGCUCUUUCAUGUUUGCGAAUUUUUCGUCAGUUCUGUCAAACGAAAAAAACAUGGCGUGCACGUUGGCUCUGUCGCGAAAGAGUGCUUUGUGGUCGGCUUUUCCGGGAUUGUUCCGGGUUGUUUGUCAAAUCGGCAGGCCAAGAAACGCUCCCAGAUUGUCACCUUGUUGAUCGAGAGUAGAUUUGAAAGGUAACUUAUAUUUUUUACUUUGCUUUAUUUGUUUAGAUUUGCUACAAGCUUUUACUAAAAAUUUGCAUUUUCAGGCCGGACGACGCGUGCAGGUGGUGCAGCCCCAAGAUGACGGUUUUGCUAGCUGGCCGUCGAUUAUUGUGUCCUCAAGUUCAACCCCGCCGGGACGCGGUCUUUGGCACGAUUGGCUUGAUUCUUGUGCACUUUCGCUACACCCUUUUUGUCGCGAUCAACGGCGGAAACCUCCUCCAGGCUCAUUCACCGCCUGAACCCCCACCCGCCAACUCCGGAACAUAACCAAGGCAGCGGAACUGACUGCAAAAACCAGCGCAGUUGAAGUCAAAGUCGCUGAUUGUGUUCCGGAUCACCGCUAGCCUGAAUGCACCCGUCGAAAAGCUGCAAAGGAUGACAUAACCUUUGUCUAACUGAUCACGCCUGUGCGCCGGAACAUGAGUGCAAACCCGCGAUUUAGUUGACCGAGAAGAGCUUAAAAUUUGGUGAGAAAGAAGGUCGUCAAUUUGUCGGCCGCUGGUCAACAUUGGGCUGGACGUGCGUGAGAACAUGCCACUGUUGUUCUUGGAGAAUCAACAACGGUAAAGAGCUCAAGCAGUUCGAAACUUCAGGACAAUUUAGGGAUUUAUCUUUUCAGGAUUUCAUUUUAAAAAAAGUCUCGAGAGUCGGCCGGCUCAUCAGCCCUGAACAACAAUAACGACUCCAGAACAAACCGCACGGAUAACAGCGCAGAAUUAUCAGCAUCUUCAUUCCUCCACGACGGAGUUUUCGACGUCCUUGCAGAUGCAUCUGCUGCAGGAAGUACAGCACCUGGCGCUGUGAAAAUCGCCGGAACGCAAACUCGAGCGUGCUCACAAACAACGAUUCCAACAGACUGUUCCGGAACCGGUCCGCACUCCAGCACUCCAGGAACAAACUGCUCCCGAUCGAAGGAUCCGAGUACCAAUCUUUGCGCGUUCUGCGCGGCAUCAGUGAAGAGUAUGCCAAAGAGUAGUUUCUUCCACCUGGCGUGAUAAAUAAAAAAAAAUCUGGUAAGUUUCUUCUAACAUUUGCUAGUUUCUGUGUAAUAAUUCUUUUAUUCUAUCACAUAGGUUCUUUCCCGUUACCAUGCUCAAAACCUCGCUCUUUGACCGAGGAGAAUAAACAAGCUGUCUAUUUGUGCGUCGCAGGAUAAGUCCCGGAUGUCAUCGGCCGCCACCCGGAGUAUGGCAUGGCACCGCUCACGACAGUCGUGGACGUGCAUGAAGCCGAUCUGUCCGAUCUGGUCCGAUUCGCAAGCUGCAUAAUCUUUCCAUUUUGGACUCGCCGGUUCCGAGAUUUUCGCCGACGUUGUUGGCCAGGAACACCGCAAAGUUGAUCGAAUCCGUCGAGAUGACGUCAAGCAAGGCGGCGGUUGCCAAUACGAGCCAGCAGCAGCUAUCAAAAUAACAUGCCUUUUAUCGAGCUGACCACACCCGAGCGCCAGAACUAUAGUGCAUACCCGCACACGCCGUUUCCUGUGUCGGCCGAGAAUCUGCAAGUUCAAAAAAAGGAGAAGCAGCAGUGUGCGCCAAAGAAAGUAAUCAAACCGUCGCUCGAUGGCCAACCUUGUGGAGAACGUGCGCGACAACAUGGCCACGGCUGGUGUCGGAAAGCCGGUCAAACCGCCUGAAGCGACCUGCUAUCAAGUAUAGAAAUGCAGAAGUACAAUUGCCAACAGAUCCAGCAUCCACGUUUGUCCGGCGGAACCGAUUCUCUGGCAGUUUGUAAACAAAGCGGUCAAGAAACUGAAGAAAGACGAACGCGAAGCAACCCAUCCGUCGGUCGCGUGCCAUUUCGUUGAUCGAGGAGAAAUUGGAACCUGACUUGCUGGUGGGUUACGCCCAGAUGUAGUUCAUCAUCAAGUGCACCGCGCCGGACCCUGUCCCACGGAGCAGGAUCUCCUGAAGCUGCACAGCUGGGUGGUUCCGGCGAGACUCGUUGAACGCCACAGGCUCGGCUUCGCAGAAUACCUCUAAAUUACCGCUCAACGCAGGGCACACACUUUGGCUUCGGCGACUUUAUCAUUUCAUCCAAGAGAACGAAACUUGACCACCUGGGAGAUGGCCAAAAAGCAGCCGGUGGCAGCGGAAUCAGUGCUGAAGCAGCACAGGUAGUCGAUUCUGGUUUCGCACCCGGCGAUAUGUUCCGUUGUGGCCAACUCGAUAAAUAUAAUAGCGCAGAAAGAGAAGCAUAUCAGCAAAGUGUCAGCCGCUGGCGUGCAGGAACCAACGGGACAUUCAAGUUGCGACCAACUUGCCGGUUCCAAAAUGUUCGGUCAUGGUUCCACGAGUGCCCUUGGAGCAACUGGAGAGAUGUUUCGAGAGAAAACGAGCACGAAAGUGAUGAAACGAUGACUGGCGAACAGUUUUCUAGUGCACUUCAACACCGGUCUGCGCACCGGCCCCCUGGCACCAUCGGCAGGAAACGUGCCUCGAUGCAUCUCCCUGGCUAUCGAGUGAGCAUCAAGGCAGGACGCCUGCAUCGGUGAAAACGAACCCGGUUGGAAAUUGCACAGCUGGCAAAUUGGAACUUGGCCGCUCCGUCGAAGCCGCUGGAGAAGGUCUUCAAUGAACCAGAAUCCGUCCACGGAACAAGUUCGAUGAAUUGUUCCGGCCCUAGGAAUGCUUUCAGAGCGACGGGUAGGAUGCUCCACGAACGCGUCCAGGUCUAUUCCAACCAGAAACCUUCCACGUUCCUGAAAUUCACACCCCAGCCGCAAUCAGGAAAUGUCGGCCAUGGCCGUGGCAGUGCCCUUCGGAACGACGUUGCACAAAUCAGGCUCGAUGGACGUUCACUUCUCUACAAGUGUCCUCGGAACGACGGGUGAGAUUCGGCACGAACGCGUACAGAUCCAAAUUAACCAGAAUAAUCAUGGCUCUGCAAAUGUCUCGGAACUACGUUGCACGGAUCAUGCUCGAUGGUCACCACCAUGAAAGUCCCUCGGAGCAUCGGAUUAAAUGUUGCACGAACGCGCCAGAUCAACUUAAACCAGUCCACCUUCCUGGCCAAUUCUUUUUCAAAUGCCGCUUCAUGCAAUCCGGAAACGUCACACGUGACGGACAUUGGCAUAGACAUUCCCUCCGAAUGAUCGAACAGACACGACGCCCUGCAAAUGCCCUCGGAACGACGGAUAAAAUGCUGCAAGAACGCGUCCAAGAUCAGAUCAACCGGAGCCGGUCCCAACAUGCCUGAUGAUCAGACCCAAUCGGCCCCGUAGUUUUCACUGAGCAUUGGGUCGCGGAUGCCGAAGGCGACCGCAGCGCUCGAAAGGGCCCGCGCUGAUCUCGAUUCCCAAGACAAACGUCAUCUCAGCAGAAUUGACCAACCAGAGCAUAAGGCGUGUCCUGGUUCGGGGUUGUCUUUGAUGCUGGCAGUCCAUUCGGAGGAGGAUGACGGGACGGUGGUUGACCUCCCGUGGCACCAAGUAGAAUUAGCAGAUCAGCGGCGACCCGCAGAGUACGGAUUUUGACUUCCAAGACUAAACCAUUCCAGACUACCUUGGAGGAGUAGUUGGAGGCAGCGGAACCGGUGCCGUUGAAGGACAGCUCUAAAUCUAAAAUCCUGCUCCCGGACGAGGAGGAGUCGUUUUGAUCCGCAAGUAACACAAACCCCCGGGCGGAAAUCAAAACAUCACGGCAUGUUCCAGGUUCGCGACCCCGCAUCGACAUACACCGAAUAGAAUAAUCAGCGCCGGGCGGACUCCAUUCUCAAUCCGGCUUCCGCUCCCAAAACUCCCGGAACUUCGCCCCUGAUUGCCCACCGGAACUGACACGCGGGAAAGCCAUGACCCUGGAAUUGACGACGAGAGCAGCGCUGCACGGGACCCGGCCAUUGCCCCGUAAAUGUCCUCGGAACAAUACAGCAUCGCAGUGCUGUCAUGGUCCCCCAAGUACCCUCAGAAUGGCGAGAGAGAUGCUGCUCGAACACGUCCAGGUCCAGAUCCAACGGAAUUGAUCACCACGUGCUUUUCUCUCCUUCCUCACCGGUCAAUUUGAGUUUAAAAUGAAGAAAAAUGUCGGAAUAAAAUCGAAACAUAGCGAUUUAUUUAAAAAAUAAACAAACGAAACUCAAAAACGACUGUUUUAAUAACAACAAAUCGAAUGACAGAUGACAGAAAAAGAAGAAGAAGAGCACAAAAAACAGGUUGAUGCGCGUCUGAUUUUUCACCUUUACGUCGUUCUUACAUCGCCCCCGCACGUAGGCCUCUAGCGAUGUUCGAACAACCUUGACAGGUUGACGUUUUGGGUGCAAAACACCUUGAUUCGGGUCUGAUGCGUGUCUCAAAAUCAGACCCGCAUCGGCCCCUGUAGGUCUGAUCGUAGCUCUGACGAUCAGACCCGAUCGGCCCCGUAUUUCUUA